AGAGGGGUUUUUGCAACAGAGCUCUUGUGACAAGGCCAAGAGGCCAUAAUGCUCUGGGACUUGUGCUUCUUCUGAAAAAUAAUCAUUUCUUUCUCUUUUUGACAAAUAAUUCAGAUGCCGGGCCAGCGUCAGAGCAGCGGGGAAGUUGCCCUUGCCCCUGGCUGCACCCACUUCCUCCUGAGCCCAGGAGAGAGUGGGCCCGGCUGCCGUCUCCCUGGCCAUGGCUCUCUGAGCUGGUCCCAGUCUUGUGUUUCCCAACAGGCCCCAAACAGACAUGUUUCCUCAGCGACCAACCGGAAAGCCUGGCUCCCCUCCCACCUCCUACUCAGAGGGACCAGAUGUGUGAUCCUCAGGGACCUCAGGAAGACCGGCCCUGCCUCCUGCCCUGCCCCAGCCAGCACUGCUCAGCCGUCUGGGGCAUCUGGACCCCGUGCGGACAGUGCAGGGCACCUAGGAAGAAGAGUACUUCCCACAAGGCUGCACGCUUUGUGUGCAUUACCUCUGUCUGCCCAAGAAUGAAGCGAUGAAUGCCAUGUGCCUUAACAGUGGAGGAAAUUGAAAUUCAGAGAAGUGGGGUGUCUGCCCAGGGCAUGGAGGAUUCCCAGCUAGAAUGGCACCUCCAACCCCAGGAAGUUCCAGUCUGCGAUGGAAGGACAAAACCCGAGGGUAAUCUAAUUGCACUUUGAUGAGGCUUAGAAUACAGUGCUACUGGGGAGGAGGGACCGAGGAGGGUUUGGGCCUUGAAUGCCAAACAGACUGCGGACAGCCGAAGAAGGCUUUGUGUCCCUUGUUGAGGGAGUGGGAGGUGAGGCUGGAAAGGCCAGCUAAAGUCAGACUCUGAGGGUCUUGAGUGACCUCCUGAUUAUUACUAUGGUUUAACCUUAUCACAUAGGUUACAGGGAGCCAUCGACGGGGGGAGAAUGGGUCUCCUUUAGGCCCCUUCCCAGGGCUCCCUGGCUGAAUGAAAGCAUAAAUGCCGAUUGAGAACCUUCGAUGUGCUGGCACUUGCUGGAUUUAGAAGUGACUUAAACACAUGUAAGACUUUAACGAGGUGAUGCCUCAGUGACCAGAGAGCAGAUGAUGACGUGGGGAGUGGGGAUCACUGCUGAAACCUGACCCUCAUGAGAGGUGCAGCUCUCAGCAAAGAAAGAAGAAGUCCCUUGACCCAGGACGGGGCAGAGGGGUGGUUGGAGGAGGGGGGUAAAUUCUCUCUCAGGCUGUUUCCUUUAGGGGAGAGAGCUUUGCAGUGGCCACUCUGCUGGAGUUCAGCAUGAUAGAUGACAAUGGCAAUGAGAAAAAGCCACCAAUGGUCCGGACACCGUGUUUGCCAAGGAAUUGCAGAGUAAAGAAAAAUAAAUGAAAGAUUUUCACCUCCAGCCCCAGAAGAAGGACACAGAGGUGGUGGUGUUCUAAGUAAAGGUCCAGAGGGACACAGAAGUGAGGACAUGGUGAAGGAGGCCGGUGGAAUCAAGAGAGGCUCCUCAGAGGUGAUGACAUUUAAGGGGCACCUUGAGUUCAGAGUGCACCAGGCUCCUUGGCUGGCAGAUGCGACGUUGAUAAGAUGGUGACUGUCCCACUAAGGGGUCCCCAGGCUCUUGUGGAAUUCAAGAUCCCAGCUUCGGAGUUCCUGAUCCCCCAUGUUCCUUUCAGGACAGUGGCCUAAACUCAUUCAAGAGUACCCAUUGGGGAGUUCCUGUGUCGUGGCUCAGUGGAAAUGAAUCCGACUAGUAUCCAAGAGGAUGCAGGUUUGAUCCCUCGCCUCCCUCAGUGGGUUAAGGAUCUGGCAUUGAUGU